UUUACAAACUAGAGACCCUCCCUACAUGAUUCACCCAUGCGCCGAAUAUAUAAAAACCCUAAGUCACAAAAACGACGCCGUUUUACCUUAUAUUUAUACCAUAUUAAGGGAUUUUGAAACCAUAUUUUCAUUUGAUUCAUCCCUCAGCCGUGCUCCUCUCCUCAACUUCUCUCUUCCCCGAUAGCAAACCGAGAACCACAGAGCCUAAAGCUCCAACAGUCGCCGAGAAACUCUAAACCAAAAACUCCGACGUCAACUAGCACGGACGAGAAGCCUAAACAAACUUCCGUGUCGACCUACAAGCCCCUCGAUUUCUCUCUAGCCCGAAACUUCUGGAACACCUAAACUAUAUCUCUACUCCCGUGAAGACCAAAACAUAACAAAGGUUUCCCGAGCGACCUUCAAUGCCUCGGUCUUAAACCCGGUGGCUCAAAUCGGAUUAGAGGGGGGGGGAACUCACAGCAUUCUUACCUACCUCCAAUGAUGGUGAUACUUUGGCAAAGGGACCCCAAUCGUAGAUGAGUGGAGGUGGCAGCAGCACAUGGGAGCUAGUGG